GCGGUGGGAUAAAAUAUUGGAAACAUUGAAAAACCUGUUUUCACCACCAGAGAGAUGGACUUCUCCUCCACGAACAGGAAACAUCCCUCUCUGCCUCAGUGAAUUACCGAGACUCAAGUGAACACACCUCAUGUGAGAAGAACAAGAAUAGGGUCACCUGAGAAAGGGGGCGUUUCCUCCGAAAUGUCAGAAGUGUCCGGCAACUACUCACCUGUCUCCCCCUUCAUGAGACAGCUUCAUGGACAGCUCCGGGAUACCCAAGAAAGGGUGAAGUUAAUCCGGUUGCUGAACGAGGACUGUCGGUGUAUCUAGUGAGCACUCUGGGUG